rnacentral:rRNA from 1 species
GUCGACGCAAUCUUUAGCCACUGAGUGCUUGCACUCAGCAGUUAAAGUGCGAGUGGCGAACGGGUGAGUAACACGUGGGCAAUCUGCCCAAAAGUGGGGGAUAACACUUGGAAACAGGUGCUAAUACCGCAUCAACCGGCUGACCGCAUGGUCGGCCGGGCAAAGACGGCGUCAGCUGUCGCUUUUGGAUGAGCCCGCGGCGUAUUAACUAGUUGGUAAGGUAACGGCUUACCAAGGUGAUGAUACGUAGCCGAACUGAGAGGUUGAUCGGCCACAUUGGGACUGAGACACGGCCCAAACUCCUACGGGAGGCAGCAGUAGGGAAUCUUCCACAAUGGACGCAAGUCUGAUGGAGCAACGCCGCGUGUAUGAAGAAGGUCUUCGGAUCGUAAAAUACUGUUGUCAGAGAAGAACACGUGAUAGAGCAACUGCUAUGGCGCUGACGGUAUCUGACCAGCAAGUCACGGCUAACUACGUGCCAGCAGCCGCGGUAAUACGUAGGUGGCAAGCGUUGUCCGGAUUUAUUGGGCGUAAAGGGAACGCAGGCGGUCUUUUAAGUCUGAUGUGAAAGCCUUCGGCUUAACCGGAGAAGUGCAUUGGAAACUGGAAGACUUGAGUGCAGAAGAGGAGAGUGGAACUCCAUGUGUAGCGGUGAAAUGCGUAGAUAUAUGGAAGAACACCAGUGGCGAAAGCGGCUCUCUGGUCUGUAACUGACGCUGAGGUUCGAAAGCGUGGGGAGCGAACAGGAUUAGAUACCCUGGUAGUCCACGCUGUGAACGAUGAAUGCUAGGUGUUGGAGGGUUUCCGCCCUUCGGUGCCGCAGCUAACGCACUAAGCAUUCCGCCUGGGGAGUACGAUCGCAAGAUUGAAACUCAAAGGAAUUGACGGGGGCCCGCACAAGCGGUGGAGCAUGUGGUU